rnacentral:rRNA from 1 species
GGUGUAGGAUGAGCUCGCGGCCUAUCAGCUUGUUGGUGGGGUAAUGGCCUACCAAGGCGGCGACGGGUAGCCGGCCUGAGAGGGUGGACGGCCACAUUGGGACUGAGAUACGGCCCAGACUCCUACGGGAGGCAGCAGUGGGGAAUAUUGCACAAUGGGCGCAAGCCUGAUGCAGCGACGCCGCGUGGGGGAUGACGGCCUUCGGGUUGUAAACUCCUUUCGCUAGGGACGAAGCUUUUUGUGACGGUACCUAGAUAAGAAGCACCGGCUAACUACGUGCCAGCAGCCGCGGUAAUACGUAGGGUGCGAGCGUUGUCCGGAAUUACUGGGCGUAAAGGGCUCGUAGGUGGUUUGUCGCGUCGUCUGUGAAAUUCCGGGGCUUAACUCCGGGCGUGCAGGCGAUACGGGCAUAACUUGAGUACUGUAGGGGUAACUGGAAUUCCUGGUGUAGCGGUGAAAUGCGCAGAUAUCAGGAGGAACACCGAUGGCGAAGGCAGGUUAC